rnacentral:rRNA from 1 species
AGAAUCAACGCUGGCGGCGUGCCUAACACAUGCAAGUCGAACGAGAAAGGGUAGCAAUACCUGAGUAAAGUGGCGCACGGGUGAGUAACACGUGACUAACCUACCCUGGAGUGGGGGAUAACUGAGGGAAACCUUAGCUAAUACCGCAUAACACCUACGGGUCAAAGGAGCAAUUCGCUUCAGGAGGGGGUCGCGGCCGAUUAGUUAGUUGGCGGGGUAAUGGCCCACCAAGACAGUGAUCGGUAUCCGGCCUGAGAGGGCGCACGGACACACUGGAACUGAAACACGGUCCAGACUCCUACGGGAGGCAGCAGUGGGGAAUUUUGCGCAAUGGGGGAAACCCUGACGCAGCAACGCCGCGUGGAGGAUGAAGUCCUUCGGGACGUAAACUCCUUUCGAUCGGGACGAUAAUGACGGUACCGGAAGAAGAAGCCCGGCUAACUUCGCGCCAGCAGCCGC